UGGGUAAUUUGCGCGCCUGCUGCCUUCCUUAGAUGUGUAGCCGUUUCUCAGGCUCCCUCUCCGGAAUCGAACCCUAAUUCCCCGUUACCCGUCACUGCCACGGUAGUCCAAUACAGUACCGUCGAAAGCUGAUAGGUCAGAAACUUGAAUGAUCCGUCGCAGACCGAAGUCAACGCGAUCCGUUCGGUUACUAUGAAUCACCUGAGGACCACCGGAAGGUGGGUUGGUUCUGUAUCUAAUAAACACUGCCCUUCCUGGGGAAGAGGCAUGUGCGCAUGUAUUAGCCAUAGAAUUACCACGGUUAUCCAUGUAGUAAAGACCAUCAAAUAAACUAUAACUGUUUUAAUGAGCCAUUCGCAGUUUAGCCGUAUAAAAGCUUAUACUUAGACAUGCAUGGCUUAAUCUUUAAGACAAGCAUAUGA